rnacentral:rRNA from 1 species
AGGGGAUCUUCGGACCUUUCGCUAUGAGAUGAGCCUGCGUUAGAUUAGCUAGUUGGUAGGGUAAAGGCCUACCAAGGCGACGAUUUAUAGCUGGUCUGAGAGGACGAUCAGCCACACUGGGACUGAGACACGGCCCAGACUCCUACGGGAGGCAGCAGUGGGGAAUAUUGGACAAUGGGCGAAAGCCUGAUCCAGCAAUACCGCGUGUGUGAAGAAGGCCUUAGGGUUGUAAAGCACUUUCAAUUGGGAGGAAAACCUGCCGGCCAAUACCCGGUAGCUUGACAUUACCUUUAGAAGAAGCACCGGCUAACUCCGUGCCAGCAGCCGCGGUAAUACGGAGGGUGCGAGCGUUAAUCGGAAUUACUGGGCGUAAAGCGUGCGUAGGCGGUUCGUUAAGUCAGAUGUGAAAGCCCUGGGCUCAACCUGGGAACUGCAUUUGAAACUGGCGGACUAGAGUUUAGUAGAGGGGAGUGGAAUUUCAGGUGUAGCGGUGAAAUGCGUAGAUAUCUGAAGGAACACCAGUGGCGAAGGCGACUCCCUGGACUAGAACUGACGCUGAGGUACGAAAGCGUGGGUAGCAAACAGGAUUAGAUACCCUGGUAGUCCACGCCGUAAACGAUGUCGACUAGC